CGCUUGGUGGUUUAGAAGAGCGUGGAGGUGGCGCGGGCGGAGAAAGGGAGGGAGAAACAGAGAUAAGUGGGAAGGCGAGAUGGUGCACCGCUUAACGUAUCGGAAGAGGCAUAGCUAUGCCACCAAGUCGAACCAGACUAGGGUUGUCAAAACCCCAGGUGGGAGGCUUGUCUAUCAGUACACAAACAAGAGGGCGAGUGGGCCAAAAUGCCCUGUGACUGGCAAGAGGAUUCAAGGAAUACCUCAUCUAAGACCUGCUCAGUACAAGAGGUCUAGAUUGUCUAGAAACCAGAGGACUGUGAACCGUGCAUAUGGUGGAGUCCUAUCUGGAAGUGCUGUUAGAGAAAGGAUUAUCAGAGCAUUUUUGGUUGAAGAGCAGAAGAUUGUCAAGAAAGUUCUGAAGAUCCAAAAGGCUAAAGAAAAACAAGCCACAAAAAGCUAGACAAGGACAAAUGAGCAUUAAUGCUCCGAGUUUUUAUUUAUCGAGGAUAAAAUUUCGACAUGAAUCCUCAGUUUCUUGUCGUGGAAAGAGUGGAAUUAUGGCAAUCUUCGAAGCAGAUUUCAAGUAAUGAUUUCUUCAAGCUCCUUGAAAGACUAAAUUGUGUUAGGUUGAAACGCAGCAGUGAAAUUGUGAAAAGCUUCAACUGGCAUGUAUACCGCGACAUGAUUCUUACAGUGAAAAUGUCACUGCCGUGCCUUUGUUUCUUUA